rnacentral:rRNA from 1 species
AUGGGCAUCACCGGCCAACCUAGCCACCGACAUGAAACAGAAUCCACGACGGCACAUGCUAACAGAUGGCCACAUGCGCAAGCAACCGACAGCUUCGACUUUGACGACGAAAAAGGAAGGGAAAUAUGCAGGACUUGCGCCAACCGUGCCCUCCGCAAACGACUGCCGAGUGUCUGUCAUCGUCACCACCUGAACUCGCUCCAACGCAGCUCCGACUUCAAAGCAACCAAGCAACCACGGAAGAGCACCUUGGACACGUCGGAAAGAACCGACUACCGAAGACCACGCCGCGACCCAAGCUCCUCUCGACGCCAUCAUCGUUGCCAAACAGAAACCAGCGCACCGCCUCAGCAAACCAGGCGGCGAAGAUGCCGUCAUCGACGGCAAAGAUGCCAUAGUGUUGAGAAUUCCCGGGUCUACAACCGACCGGUCGCCACCCUACUAUCUCCUAGCUACUAG